rnacentral:lncRNA from 1 species
CAUGAAAUGAUCCAUGUCUUUUUCCUAUUUUUGUUGCAUUAGUAGUUAAUACAAUGUGUAAGAAGAAGAAAACAUGGCCAUGACAGUGAGGCUGGAAAGGCCAGGUAACGGCUUAACAUCUUUCUCUGCAGUUGGUUCACCUACUUUUCACCUGGAAGCUUUGCGUGGAAGCACAUUGCCAGCCAGCUGCAGAACAUCUUUGGGAAGACAAGACCCUCUUCCCCUGGGGUCAGAUGUAAAGGCCCGCAGAUACGCCAGCAGUCUCUCCGCGUCAAUAGCCUCCUGGGGGAACUACUGAAAGCAGCUAAUGGUUUUCUGUAGAACAUAAGUUGCAACAAUAAAGAACCAGUAUUUGUGGACCGCUUGCUGUAUACCAAUCUGUUGAAUCCUCACAAAAGCGAAAUGAGAUGAGUACCACAUUUUUCACGUGAAGUAAGUGGGUUCAGAGAGUUUAAAAACCUUCUGCAGACACACAGCCAUCAGCAGCAGAUCUAAGAUUGGAAUGUAGGUCAUCUGACUCCAGAGUCUACAGCAACUAAAAACUAUAUACAACUU